GAUGAACGCUGGCUGCGUGCCUAAUACAUGCAAGUCGAGCGAACGGACGAGAAGCUUGCUUCUCUGAUGUUAGCGGCGGACGGGUGAGUAACACGUGGAUAACCUACCUAUAAGACUGGGAUAACUUCGGGAAACCGGAGCUAAUACCGGAUAAUAUUUUGAACCGCAUGGUUCAAAAGUGAAAGACGGUCUUGCUGUCACUUAUAGAUGGAUCCGCGCUGCAUUAGCUAGUUGGUAAGGUAACGGCUUACCAAGGCAACGAUGCAUAGCCGACCUGAGAGGGUGAUCGGCCACACUGGAACUGAGACACGGUCCAGACUCCUACGGGAGGCAGCAGUAGGGAAUCUUCCGCAAUGGGCGAAAGCCUGACGGAGCAACGCCGCGUGAGUGAUGAAGGUCUUCGGAUCGUAAAACUCUGUUAUUAGGGAAGAACAUAUGUGUAAGUAACUGUGCACAUCUUGACGGUACCUAAUCAGAAAGCCACGGCUAACUACGUGCCAGCAGCCGCGGUAAUACGUAGGUGGCAAGCGUUAUCCGGAAUUAUUGGGCGUAAAGCGCGCGUAGGCGGUUUUUUAAGUCUGAUGUGAAAGCCCACGGCUCAACCGUGGAGGGUCAUUGGAAACUGGAAAACUUGAGUGCAGAAGAGGAAAGUGGAAUUCCAUGUGUAGCGGUGAAAUGCGCAGAGAUAUGGAGGAACACCAGUGGCGAAGGCGACUUUCUGGUCUGUAACUGACGCUGAUGUGCGUAAGCGUGGGGAUCAAACAGGAUUAGAUACCCUGGUAGUCCACGCCGUAAACGAUGAGUGCUAAGUGUUAGGGGGUUUCCGCCCCUUAGUGCUGCAGCUAACGCAUUAAGCACUCCGCCUGGGGAGUACGACCGCAAGGUUGAAACUCAAAGGAAUUGACGGGGACCCGCACAAGCGGUGGAGCAUGUGGUUUAAUUCGAAGCAACGCGAAGAACCUUACCAAAUCUUGACAUCCUUUGACAACUCUAGAGAUAGAGCCUUCCCCUUCGGGGGACAAAGUGACAGGUGGUGCAUGGUUGUCGUCAGCUCGUGUCGUGAGAUGUUGGGUUAAGUCCCGCAACGAGCGCAACCCUUAAGCUUAGUUGCCAUCAUUAAGUUGGGCACUCUAAGUUGACUGCCGGUGACAAACCGGAGGAAGGUGGGGAUGACGUCAAAUCAUCAUGCCCCUUAUGAUUUGGGCUACACACGUGCUACAAUGGACAAUACAAAGGGCAGCGAAACCGCGAGGUCAAGCAAAUCCCAUAAAGUUGUUCUCAGUUCGGAUUGUAGUCUGCAACUCGACUACAUGAAGCUGGAAUCGCUAGUAAUCGUAGAUCAGCAUGCUACGGUGAAUACGUUCCCGGGUCU
rnacentral:rRNA from 1 species